GAUGGUGUGAUUUUCUAAAAUAUAGCAGGUUUAUAAUACUGAAAACCCUUGGCAACUCCAGACUGGUAACUCAACAUCUCCUGAUGGCUGCAAAAAUCAAAUCUUUUAGAGCAAAACCUUUCCAAAUCUUUUCCUCUUCCUCGAAGCUCUUAAAGUUGCAAUCUUCUUCAUCAUCCCCAACAGCCGCACAACUUCAUUGAACCCAGAACCCAAAACCGCAACUGUAACAACACCAUUAACCCGACAACAGCUGGCCAAAAUCAACCUCUUAAUACCACGAUUAUGCCUCAAAAAUAACAUAAACAACACCAUUAAUCUUACUCUCACAGCUUUACAAACAAACCCACCUCCCAAGUCUUUCUCUUCCUCCGUUUUACUUAACAACCUAACUUGGUCCUCCGCAUGGCUCUUUUAACCAAACUCAAACACACCUCGCAAGCACAUUCACGGCUCACCUUAAUCACCACACUUCUUGUGUCUUCAUAUCUCAAAAAGAGUAGGCCAAAAGAGGCAUUAAAAGUGCACAACUAAAUGCUGAGGACUGGCUCUCCAUGUAAAGUGGAGACGGUGGUGUGUGAGGUUUUGGUUGAUGUGUUGUGUAGAAGUCGUGGGUUGUGGAGGCUUUGAGGGUUUUAAGAGAAGUUUGGUGGAUGAAUUUGGCGGUGAAAGGUGGUUCGAGGAGAAGGGUUUUUAGGAGUUAGUUGAGAGAAGCUUGAAUUGAGGGGGCUAAGGAAUUGAAUAAAGCUUUGGGGAGAGUUCACAGUGGUGAAGGGGAGGGCUUGAAGGAAUUCUUGGCCUUGUUGGAUCAGAUUCUUGCUAAUUGGACGGACUAGUGCGGUGCAGCAUUUAUUGUUGUUGCGUGUAUUUGGUGGCCCGACAUUGUGCUUGAGUUUGCUUGUUGAUGGAUGGUGGAGACUGGAGAAGAUAUAUAACCAUUGAAUUGGGUACAACAACUCCUUUUAGUUUCCAAUAUCUGCAAAACAACAAAAGCUGAUCAAGAAUUUUGGUGUAAGAAAUUUGACGAUGAUGCCCUGAUAGAUACAUUUUUCUUUCGAUGAUAUGUGCAUAUCCAUGACACAAAUUUGCGUGGAUAACUUCUUAUAGCAUAUAUUUUAAGUAAACAUUAUCUGUAUUCAUAGAAAAUUUUGAGCGGUUAAGGGUAAAAAGGAAACGGAUUGUAAGCAAGAUGACUGGUGUUUGACUUGCGGUAUGCUUUACUUGAUCUAGUCAAAGGAAAAUUUCUCUGUAUCUACUUGUGACAUUUUCUGUACCAUCUGCUACUGAUUAGGGGCACAGAUUCCCUGUAGUACCUAUGAACUGCAGUAUACAUUCGAUCCAUUGCUUGAUUAGUGAAGCUAGUUAUUUAGGUUGGUUAUCCCAUUGGUCAUGUCCCAUCCUAGUACAUGUUCAUGCAAUUAAAUAAUUUUAAAGUGAGUUUUUUGCUUUAGACAGCCCUUGCUUUCAACUACUCUGAGAUAAAUUUGCUUCAGUUUGAUCAGUUGACCAGCUGGGGUUAAAGAUAAAUUAAGACAGAGAUAUUGAAGUGAACACUUGCUGAUAUGUUGUUGUGUAAAUCUAUAUAUCUGUCCUAGUGUCCUACUAGGUUGAGUUGGUCACUACAAACUGGGAAGACAGGUCGUCCCUGAUAAACCCAAUUUCAGUGAUAUGCAAAGGGUAUAUAUUACUGAAUGAUAUUCUAAAUUCAAGUGGAACGUCAAAAAUUUGUUGGGGUCAUAUUAAAGAAGUUAGUGGAAGGGAUAUGGUGCAGCUUGUGAAGGACUACUAGGAUCCAAAGCAUCAACUUUUCACAGCCUCCAUUUCUGAUAAGAGCAAGCAAGUAUCGAAUCAGCAAAAGCAUAGUAACCCUUGUAAAUUUUAGGUGAAUUUAUUUGUUUGAUGGGUCGUCUUAGGUGGCCUGAAAUAGUAAAAUGGGGUGAAGGCACAGUCAUUUCGUAAAAGGACAUCAAAAUUUCUACAGAAAAACAUUAUUCCUUGAGAAGCCAGAGUGAGAUGUCCUUAGAAAUGAAAUCUGUAAACAUCUUUUAUAUACUGAAGUUACUGAAUGAGUUCUGUGUUUCCACAUCAUGUACGUCUGGACUAUCGGAACUCAAGCAAGUGACACUAUUCAAUCACCGUCUGCUCUGCACACAUACACAAAGAAAGAGCUUUACCAAGCAGCUUCUGAUGCUGCUAUUGCAUGUUUAAAGAUAGUUGAAGAAAUCUGCUCGCAAAGUUUCUAAGAGCUGCAGAGUAUUGUCACUCUAAAUUCUAUAUGGGAUGCUUAAAGACUGGAGAAGGCAUCAAAGGAACAAGUUUUGACUUGGAGAAAGUAUGAAUCGAAUUCAUAAUGAGGACCAUUACAAAAAGCAUCCCGGUUAACUUCACAAUGUUGAGAAUAUUGAUAUCGACCUUGUGUUACUGAAAUCAUUUUGAUUAUAAUUCUUAUUUGUUGUUGUUUUAA